rnacentral:misc_RNA from 1 species
GGAAGUAAAAGUCGUAGCAAGGUCUCCGUUGGUGAACCAGCGGAGGGAUCAUUAUCGAGUUUAUAACUCCCAAACCCUAUGUGAACUUACCACUUGUUGCUUCGGCGCGCGCUUCGGUGCCGCCGAGGACACUUAAACUCUUUGUUUUUAUAAGCAUUUCUGAGUGGCCGAAAGGCAAAAUACAAAUGAAUCAAAACUUUCAACAACGGAUCUCUUGGUUCUG